rnacentral:rRNA from 1 species
GGGGAAUAUUGGACAAUGGGCGCAAGCCUGAUCCAGCCACGCCGCGUGAGUGAUGAAGGCCUUCGGGUUGUAAAGCUCUGUGGGGAGGGGCGAAAACGGCCGGUAAGAAACGACCGGUCCUUGACGGUACCUCCUUAGCAAGCACCGGCUAACUCUGUGCCAGCAGCCGCGGUAAUACAGAGGGUGCGAACGUUGCUCGGAAUUACUGGGCGUAAAGCGCGUGUAGGCGGAUGGGUAAGUCAGAUGUGAAAUCCCCGGGCUCAACCCGGGAACUGCAUUUGAAACUGCUCGUCUUGAGUACCGGAGAGGGUGGCGGAAUUCCUGGUGUAGAGGUGAAAUUCGUAGAUAUCAGGAGGAACACCGGUGGCGAAGGCGGCCACCUGGACGGUAACUGACGCUGAGACGCGAAAGCGUGGGGAGCAAAC